rnacentral:rRNA from 1 species
CACGUAGGGGGCAAGCGUUGUCCGGAUUCAUUGGGCGUAAAGAGCUCGUAGGCGGUUCGAUAAGUCGGGUGUGAAACCUCCAGGCUCAACCUGGAGACGCCACCCGAUACUGUCGUGACUAGAGUCCAGUAGGGGAGCGUGGAAUUCCUGGUGUAGCGGUGAAAUGCGCAGAUAUCAGGAGGAACACCGGUGGCGAAGGCGGGUCUCUGGGCAGUAACUGACGCUGAGGAGCGAAAGCGUGGGGAGCGAACAGG